AACAGGGAUUACCUCAGUAACGGCGAGUGAAGCGGUAACAGCUCAAAUUUGAAAGCUGCCAACAGGCCGCGUUGUAAUUUGUAGAAGCUGCUUUGGGUGUCGGCCCGGUCUAAGUUCCUUGGAACAGGACGUCAUAGAGGGUGAGAAUCCCGUAUGUGAUCGGUGCCGUUGCCCGUGUAAAGCGCUUUCGACGAGUCGAGUUGUUUGGGAAUGCAGCUCAAAAUGGGUGGUAAAUUUCAUCUAAAGCUAAAUAUUGGCCAGAGACCGAUAGCGCACAAGUAGAGUGAUCGAAAGAUGAAAAGCACUUUGGAAAGAGAGUUAAACAGUACGUGAAAUUGUUAAAAGGGAAAC
rnacentral:rRNA from 1 species